GGUUAAGCGACUAAGCGUACACGGUGGAUGCCCUGGCAGUCAGAGGCGAUGAAGGGCGUGCUAAUCUGCGAUAAGCGCCGGUAAGGUGAUAUGAACCGUUAUAACCGGCGAUACCCGAAUGGGGAAACCCAGUGUGAUUCGUCACACUAUCAUUAACUGAAUCCAUAGGUUAAUGAGGCGAACCGGGGGAACUGAAACAUCUAAGUACCCCGAGGAAAAGAAAUCAACCGAGAUUCCCCCAGUAGCGGCGAGCGAACGGGGAGGAGCCCAGAGCCUGAAUCAGCAUGUGUGUUAGUGGAAGCGUCUGGAAAGGCGCGCGAUACAGGGUGACAGCCCCGUACACAAAAGCGCAUGUGCUGUGAGCUCGAUGAGUAGGGCGGGACACGUGGUAUCCUGUCUGAAUAUGGGGGGACCAUCCUCCAAGGCUAAAUACUCCUGACUGACCGAUAGUGAACCAGUACCGUGAGGGAAAGGCGAAAAGAACCCCGGCGAGGGGAGUGAAAAAGAACCUGAAACCGUGUACGUACAAGCAGUGGGAGCACAGGUUUACCUGUGUGACUGCGUACCUUUUGUAUAAUGGGUCAGCGACUUAUAUUCUGUAGCAAGGUUAACCGAAUAGGGGAGCCGGAGGGAAACCGAGUCUUAAUUGGGCGUUAAGUUGCAGGGUAUAGACCCGAAACCCGGUGAUCUAGCCAUGGGCAGGUUGAAGGUUGGGUAACACUAACUGGAGGACCGAACCGACUAAUGUUGAAAAAUUAGCGGAUGACCUGUGGCUGGGGGUGAAAGGCCAAUCAAACCGGGAGAUAGCUGGUUCUCCCCGAAAGCUAUUUAGGUAGCGCCUCGUGAAUUCAUCUCCGGGGGUAGAGCACUGUUUCGGCUAGGGGGCCAUCCCGGCUUACCAACCCGAUGCAAACUGCGAAUACCGGAGAAUGUUAUCACGGGAGACACACGGCGGGUGCUAACGUCCGUCGUGAAGAGGGAAACAACCCAGACCGCCAGCUAAGGUCCCAAAGUCAUGGUUAAGUGGGAAACGAUGUGGGAAGGCCCAGACAGCCAGGAUGUUGGCUUAGAAGCAGCCAUCAUUUAAAGAAAGCGUAAUAGCUCACUGGUCGAGUCGGCCUGCGCGGAAGAUGUAACGGGGCUAAACCAUGCACCGAAGCUGCGGCAGCGAACGUAUCACUUAAAGCGAUUCAGCGGGUUACGAUUGACGGAGCGAAGCGACGUCAAAGCGUAUACAAAGUCGAGUCGGUUUAAGGAUACGUUCGUUGGGUAGGGGAGCGUUCUGUAAGCCUGUGAAGGUGGCCUGUGAGGGUUGCUGGAGGUAUCAGAAGUGCGAAUGCUGACAUAAGUAACGAUAAAGCGGGUGAAAAGCCCGCUCGCCGGAAGACCAAGGGUUCCUGUCCAACGUUAAUCGGGGCAGGGUGAGUCGACCCCUAAGGCGAGGCCGAAAGGCGUAGUCGAUGGGAAACAGGUUAAUAUUCCUGUACUUGGUGUUACUGCGAAGGGGGGACGGAGAAGGCUAUGUUGGCCGGGCGACGGUUGUCCCGGUUUAAGCGUGUAGGCUGGUUUUCCAGGCAAAUCCGGAAAAUCAAGGCUGAGGCGUGAUGACGAGGCACUACGGUGCUGAAGCAACAAAUGCCCUGCUUCCAGGAAAAGCCUCUAAGCAUCAGGUAACAUCAAAUCGUACCCCAAACCGACACAGGUGGUCAGGUAGAGAAUACCAAGGCGCUUGAGAGAACUCGGGUGAAGGAACUAGGCAAAAUGGUGCCGUAACUUCGGGAGAAGGCACGCUGACACGUAGGUGAAGUGAUUUACUCAUGGAGCUGAAGUCAGUCGAAGAUACCAGCUGGCUGCAACUGUUUAUUAAAAACACAGCACUGUGCAAACACGAAAGUGGACGUAUACGGUGUGACGCCUGCCCGGUGCCGGAAGGUUAAUUGAUGGGGUCAGCGCAAGCGAAGCUCCUGAUCGAAGCCCCGGUAAACGGCGGCCGUAACUAUAACGGUCCUAAGGUAGCGAAAUUCCUUGUCGGGUAAGUUCCGACCUGCACGAAUGGCGUAAUGAUGGCCAGGCUGUCUCCACCCGAGACUCAGUGAAAUUGAACUCGCUGUGAAGAUGCAGUGUACCCGCGGCAAGACGGAAAGACCCCGUGAACCUUUACUAUAGCUUGACACUGAACAUUGAGCCUUGAUGUGUAGGAUAGGUGGGAGGCUUUGAAGUGUGGACGCCAGUCUGCAUGGAGCCGACCUUGAAAUACCACCCUUUAAUGUUUGAUGUUCUAACGUGGACCCGUGAUCCGGGUUGCGGACAGUGUCUGGUGGGUAGUUUGACUGGGGCGGUCUCCUCCUAAAGAGUAACGGAGGAGCACGAAGGUUGGCUAAUCCUGGUCGGACAUCAGGAGGUUAGUGCAAUGGCAUAAGCCAGCUUGACUGCGAGCGUGACGGCGCGAGCAGGUGCGAAAGCAGGUCAUAGUGAUCCGGUGGUUCUGAAUGGAAGGGCCAUCGCUCAACGGAUAAAAGGUACUCCGGGGAUAACAGGCUGAUACCGCCCAAGAGUUCAUAUCGACGGCGGUGUUUGGCACCUCGAUGUCGGCUCAUCACAUCCUGGGGCUGAAGUAGGUCCCAAGGGUAUGGCUGUUCGCCAUUUAAAGUGGUACGCGAGCUGGGUUUAGAACGUCGUGAGACAGUUCGGUCCCUAUCUGCCGUGGGCGCUGGAGAACUGAGGGGGGCUGCUCCUAGUACGAGAGGACCGGAGUGGACGCAUCACUGGUGUUCGGGUUGUCAUGCCAAUGGCACUGCCCGGUAGCUAAAUGCGGAAGAGAUAAGUGCUGAAAGCAUCUAAGCACGAAACUUGCCCCGAGAUGAGUUCUCCCUGAGACUUAGAGUCUCCUGAAGGAACGUUGAAGACGACGACGUUGAUAGGCCGGGUGUGUAAGCGCAGCGAUGCGUUGAGCUAACCGGUACUAAUGAACCGUGAGGCUUAACCUU
rnacentral:rRNA from 1 species